UCAACUUGGGUAGCACAUCUGUUGGGGGGUGGCUACACCUUAAUGGAACAGGAUCUGGGUUGUGCAGAUCAGAGAGGAUUCUGCCCUGGAGUGGCAUAACUUUGAGCUGCAUAACGAGUGCUGAAAACCACUUUAAGAUUUCACAGAUUUCAG